CGUGUCUCUAGUGCCAGCCGCCGCGGUAAUACAGAGGGUGCAAGCGUUAAUCGGAUUUACUGGGCGUAAAGCGCGCGUAGGCGGCUAAUUAAGUCAAAUGUGAAAUCCCCGAGCUUAACUUGGGAAUUGCAUUCGAUACUGGUUAGCUAGAGUGUGGGAGAGGAUGGUAGAAUUCCAGGUGUAGCGGUGAAAUGCGUAGAGAUCUGGAGGAAUACCGAUGGCGAAGGCAGCCAUCUGGCCUAACACUGACGCUGAGGUGCGAAAGCAUGGGGAGCAAACAGGAUUAGAUACCCUGGUAGUCCAUGCCGUAAACGAUGAGUGUUCGCCCUUGGUCUAUUCUGAUCUGGGGCUCAGCUAACGCGUUAAACACUCCGCCUGGGGAGUACGGUCGCAAGACCGAAACUUAAAUGAAUUGACGGG
rnacentral:rRNA from 1 species